UGGGGAAUCUUGCACAAUGGGCGAAAGCCUGAUGCAGCGACGCCGCGUGGGGGACGACGGCCCUCGGGUUGUAAACCCCUUUCGGCAGGGAAGAAGCGAAAGUGACGGUACCUGCAGAAGAAGUCCCGGCUAACUACGUGCCAGCAGCCGCGGUAAGACGUAGGGGACGAGCGUUGUCCGGAUUCAUUGGGCGUAAAGCGCGCGUAGGCGGUUCGGUAAGUCGGGUGUGAAAACACGAGGCUCAACCUCGUGCGUGCAUCCGAUACUGCCGGACUAGAGGUAGGUAGGGGAGAUCGGAAUUCCUGGUGUAGCGGUGAAAUGCGCAGAUAUCAGGAGGAACACCGGUGGCGAAGGCGGAUCUCUGGGCCUUACCUGACGCUCAGGCGCGAAAGCUAGGGGAGCAAACAG
rnacentral:rRNA from 1 species